rnacentral:rRNA from 1 species
UUUCCAGCCGCCGCGGUAAUACGUAGGGGGCCAGCGUUGUCCGGAUUCAUUGGGCGUAAAGCGCGUGUAGGCGGCCAGGUAGGUCCGAUGUGAAAUCUGGAGGCUCAACCUCCAGCGGUCAUUGGAAACCAUCUGGCUAGAGUCCGGAAGAGGAGAGUGGAAUUCCUGGUGUAGCGGUGAAAUGCGCAGAUAUCAGGAAGAACACCAAUGGCGAAGGCAGCUCUCUGGGACGGUACUGACGCUGAGACGCGAAAGCGUGGGGAGCGAACAGGAUUAGAUACCCGCGUAGUCC